rnacentral:rRNA from 1 species
GACGUAGGGCGCGAGCGUUGUCCGGAUUUAUUGGGCGUAAAGAGCUCGUAGGCGGCUUGUCGCGUCGUUCGUGAAAACCUGCGGCUCAACUGCAGGCUUGCGGUCGAUACGGGCAGGCUGGAGUUCGGUAGGGGAGACUGGAAUUCCUGGUGUAGCGGUGAAAUGCGCAGAUAUCUGGAGGAACACCGGUGGCGAAGGCGGCGUUCUGGACUGUUACUGACACUGAGGAACGAAAGCCAGGGGAGCAAACGGG